UAGCUCAGUUGGUAGAGCAGUAGACUCUUAAUCUAUUGGUCGGGGGUUCGAGUCCCCC
rnacentral:tRNA from 1 species